rnacentral:rRNA from 1 species
CCUACGGGAGGCAGCAGUGGGGAAUAUUGCGCAAUGGGCGAAAGCCUGAUGCAGCGACGCCGCGUGAGUGAAGAAGUAAUUCGUUAUGUAAAGCUCUAUCAGCAGGGAAGAAAAUGACGGUACCCGAGUAAGAAGCCCGGCUAACUACGAGCCAGCAGCCGCGGUAAUACGUAGGGGGCAAGCGUUAUCCGGAUUUACUGGGGGUAAAGGGGGCGUAGACGGCAGUGCAAGUCUGGAGUGAAAGGCGGGGGCUCAACCCCCGGACUGCUCUGGAAACUGUACGGCUGGAGUGCAGGAGAGGUAAGUGGAAUUCCUAGUGUAGCGGUGAAAUGCGUAGAUAUUAGGAGGAACACCAGUGGCGAAGGCGGCUUACUGGACUGUAACUGACGUUGAGGCUCGAAAGCGUGGGGAGCAAACAGGAUUAGAUACCCGGGUAGUC